UGGGGAAUAUUGCACAAUGGGCGCAAGCCUGAUGCAGCCAUGCCGCGUGUAUGAAGAAGGCCUUCGGGUUGUAAAGUACUUUCAGCGGGGAGGAAGGUGUUGAGGUUAAUAACCUCAGCAAUUGACGUUACCCGCAGAAGAAGCACCGGCUAACUCCGUGCCAGCAGCCGCGGUAAUACGGAGGGUGCAAGCGUUAAUCGGAAUUACUGGGCGUAAAGCGCACGCAGGCGGUCUGUCAAGUCGGAUGUGAAAUCCCCGGGCUCAACCUGGGAACUGCAUUCGAAACUGGCAGGCUAGAGUCUUGUAGAGGGGGGUAGAAUUCCAGGUGUAGCGGUGAAAUGCGUAGAGAUCUGGAGGAAUACCGGUGGCGAAGGCGGCCCCCUGGACAAAUACUGACGCUCAGGUGCGAAAGCGUGGGGAGCAAACA
rnacentral:rRNA from 1 species